UGGUGCUAAGACUGUAUUUUGAGCCUAAUUUAUUUGUCCCGUUGACUGCUUCGACUCCAUGUGGCGCCACAAGAACCGAGCGGCAGAUAACAUCAAAAUCCCGCGAGAGCGAUUCGAGAAAUUAUACAAAGUAGACUGUUUCGAAAUACUCUCGCGGUACUUUGAUGUCAUUCACCUGUCCGUUGUGGCGGCGCCACAAGCAGCAACAGCUGCAGACAGUGGUGAUCACGACACUUGAGAAUGAUCUCCGACACCUUUCAUCCAAUCACAAUCAGUAUGCGUUUAAGAGGGUCAAAUAAUACGAUUACAUGUUUUCUUUUUAUUUUAUUUAGCUGUUUGUGCAUGUAUAAGAUCUGCAUAGUUACAAAGUUCGUUCUCAAUUCUGAAGAGAUCGCUAAUCCAGACCUGCCUAAAACGCCUCAAUCUGAAAAGUCCCAAGGCAUUUCCAAUUUAACUAGGAAAAUCUCGCGCUUGUGAUUUACAGACUAAGUGCCACAAUAUCCUGUAUCUGGCUGCCACAUUGCUGCCCUGAGGUCCCCUUCAAAACAGCAUAUGUGAGUUCAAUUAAACCGCAGUCUCGACACUGUGCGUACGCUUCGUCUGCCUCGCACCCAUUAACCUUCUCCAGCCUCGGUUAUUCCCCCUCCUCGUUUCCCUUACAUCCACCUUCCUUUCUAUCAUGAGGAAUCGAAGAGAUCUAAACAUCAUUGUGUUGCUCGAACAAUAGACGUGACACAGAGAUAAACUCCUACUUGUUGUGCAUGUUUUCGUCAGAUGGACAGGAAACGGUAAAGAGACACAUAAACAGUAUUUUUACAGUCUUGAGGUCAAAUCGUCUCAUCUGAGGCCUGGAAGGAAUGCUGACCGAUCUCCCAGCGCACAUUCCUAACAGACAGACGCCUUAUCUACAGAUGGAUAUUUGGACAAACUAUGUGGAUCUGACAAACAAGCCGCCCUGUCGUGUACUUGGAGGAAAGAGGAAUACGAAGGAGAUAUGGGUGUAAGUUACAAAUAAUGAGAAAGAAACAGAUGAAAUGUUUAAAAAAGUGACUUGUGGAUGAUGUCUUAUCUCUAAGAGUCCCGCAGGACUGAACUAAUCCUUUUGAAGGGGACUGAAAGAAUGAAGAUAGUAGAAGAGGUAAAAGAUAAAAAAAAUCAAGAUAAACAAGAGCAGGUUUCAACCAUCUGCAUGUUGCUACAUCUGUGUGCUACAGGGCACAUCAGAGCUCUUUCAUGCCCAUUAAACAGUAAAACACUUAAUUGACUAAAGAUGUAUGAGCCGAUAAUAAAGUCCCAAAUUCUGCUUUUUUCAAA